GAUGAACGCUAGCUACAGGCUUAACACAUGCAAGUCGAGGGGCAGCAUGGUCUUAGCUUGCUAAGGCCGAUGGCGACCGGCGCACGGGUGAGUAACACGUAUCCAACCUGCCGUCUACUCUUGGACAGCCUUCUGAAAGGAAGAUUAAUACAAGAUGGCAUCAUGAGUCCACAUGUUCACAUGAUUAAAGGUAUUCCGGUAGACGAUGGGGAUGCGUUCCAUUAGAUAGUAGGCGGGGUAACGGCCCACCUAGUCUUCGAUGGAUAGGGGUUCUGAGAGGAAGGUCCCCCACAUUGGAACUGAGACACGGUCCAAACUCCUACGGGAGGCAGCAGUGAGGAAUAUUGGUCAAUGGGCGAGAGCCUGAACCAGCCAAGUAGCGUGAAGGAUGACUGCCCUAUGGGUUGUAAACUUCUUUUAUAAAGGAAUAAAGUCGGGUAUGGAUACCCGUUUGCAUGUACUUUAUGAAUAAGGAUCGGCUAACUCCGUGCCAGCAGCCGCGGUAAUACGGAGGAUCCGAGCGUUAUCCGGAUUUAUUGGGUUUAAAGGGAGCGUAGAUGGAUGUUUAAGUCAGUUGUGAAAGUUUGCGGCUCAACCGUAAAAUUGCAGUUGAUACUGGAUAUCUUGAGUGCAGUUGAGGCAGGCGGAAUUCGUGGUGUAGCGGUGAAAUGCUUAGAUAUCACGAAGAACUCCGAUUGCGAAGGCAGCCUGCUAAGCUGCAACUGACAUUGAGGCUCGAAAGUGUGGGUAUCAAACAGGAUUAGAUACCCUGGUAGUCCACACGGUAAACGAUAAAUACUCGCUGUUUGCGAUAUACAGCAAGCGGCCAAGCGAAAGCGUUAAGUAUUCCACCUGGGGAGUACGCCGGCAACGGUGAAACUCAAAGGAAUUGACGGGGGCCCGCACAAGCGGAGGAACAUGUGGUUUAAUUCGAUGAUACGCGAGGAACCUUACCCGGGCUUAAAUUGCAGAUGAAUUACGGUGAAAGCCGUAAGCCGCAAGGCAUCUGUGAAGGUGCUGCAUGGUUGUCGUCAGCUCGUGCCGUGAGGUGUCGGCUUAAGUGCCAUAACGAGCGCAACCCUUGUUGUCAGUUACUAACAGGUUCCGCUGAGGACUCUGACAAGACUGCCAUCGUAAGAUGUGAGGAAGGUGGGGAUGACGUCAAAUCAGCACGGCCCUUACGUCCGGGGCUACACACGUGUUACAAUGGGGGGUACAGAGGGCCGCUACCACGCGAGUGGAUGCCAAUCCCAAAAACCUCUCUCAGUUCGGACUGGAGUCUGCAACCCGACUCCACGAAGCUGGAUUCGCUAGUAAUCGCGCAUCAGCCACGGCGCGGUGAAUACGUUCCCGGGCCU
rnacentral:rRNA from 1 species